rnacentral:rRNA from 1 species
GAAGGCCGUUUCGGGUUAGUAAAGCUACUUUCAGGUAGGGAGGAAGGUAGUGUAGUUAACACCUGCAUUAUUUGACGUUACCUACAGAAGAAGCACCGGCUAACUCCGUGCCAGCAGCCGCGGUAAUACGGAGGGUGCGAGCGUUAAUCGGAAUUACUGGGCGUAAAGCGCAUGCAGGCGGCCUGUUAAGUCAGAUGUGAAAGCCCGGGGCGUUAACCUCGGAAUUGCAUUUGAAACUAGGCAGGCUAGAGUCUUGUAGAGGGGGGUAGGAAUUUCAGGUGUAGCGGUGAAAUGCGUAGAGAUCUGAAGGAAUACCAGUGGCGAAGGCGGCCCCCUCGGACAAAGACUGACGCUCAGAUGCGAAAGCGUGGGGAGCAAACAGGAUUAGAUACCCUGGUAG